UGGGGAAUAUUGCACAAUGGGCGCAAGCCUGAUGCAGCCAUGCCGCGUGUAUGAAGAAGGCCUUCGGGUUGUAAAGUACUUUCAGCGGGGAGGAAGGGAGUAAAGUUAAUACCUUUGCUCAUUGACGUUACCCGCAGAAGAAGCACCGGAUAGCACCGUGCCAGCAGUCGCGGUAAUACGGAGGGUGCAAGCGUUAAUCGGAAUUACUGGGCGUAAAGCGCACGCAGGCGGUUUGUUAAGUCAGAUGUGAAAUCCCCGGGCUCAACCUGGGAACGGCAUCUGAUACUGGCAAGCUUGAGUCUCGUAGAGGGGGGUAGAAUUCCAGGUGUAGCGGUGAAAUGCGUAGAGAUCUGGAGGAAUACCGGUGGCGAAGGCGGCCCCCUGUACGAAGACUGACGCUCAGGAGCGAAAGCGUGGGGAGCAAACAGG
rnacentral:rRNA from 1 species